rnacentral:rRNA from 1 species
CACGCCCUAAACGAUGUCAACUAGCUGUUGGGGCCUUCGGGCCUUGGUAGCGCAGCUAACGCGUGAAGUUGACCGCCUGGGGAGUNACGCGAAAAACCUUACCUACCCUUGACAUGUCUGGAAUGCCGAAGAGAUUUGGCAGUGCUCGCAAGAGAACCGGAACACAGGUGC